rnacentral:rRNA from 1 species
GAUGAACGCUGGCGGCGUGCCUAAUACAUGCAAGUCGAGCGAACGGACGAGAAGCUUGCUUCUCUGAUGUUAGCGGCGGACGGGUGAGUAACACGUGGAUAACCUACCUAUAAGACUGGGAUAACUUCGGGAAACCGGAGCUAAUACCGGAUAAUAUUUUGAACCGCAUGGUUCAAAAGUAAAAGACGGUCUUGCUGUCACUUAUAGAUGGAUCCGCGCUGCAUUAGCUAGUUGGUAAGGUAACGGCUUACCAAGGCAACGAUGCAUAGCCGACCUGAGAGGGUGAUCGGCCACACUGGAACUGAGACACGGUCCAGACUCCUACGGGAGGCAGCAGUAGGGAAUCUUCCGCAAUGGGCGAAAGCCUGACGGAGCAACGCCGCGUGAGUGAUGAAGGUCUUCGGAUCGUAAAACUCUGUUAUUAGGGAAGAACAUAUGUGUAAGUAACUGUGCACAUCUUGACGGUACCUAAUCAGAAAGCCACGGCUAACUACGUGCCAGCAGCCGCGGUAAUACGUAGGUGGCAAGCGUUAUCCGGAAUUAUUGGGCGUAAAGCGCGCGUAGGCGGUUUUUUAAGUCCGAUGUGAAAGCCCACGGCUCUACCGUGGAGGGUCAUUGGAAACUGGAAAACUUGAGUGCAGAAGAGGAAAGUGGAAUUCCAUGUGUAGCGGUGAAAUGCGCAGAGAUAUGGAGGAACACCAGUGGCGAAGGCGACUUUCUGGUCUGUAACUGACGCUGAUGUGCGAAAGCGUGGGGAUCAAACAGGAUUAGAUACCCUGGUAGUCCACGCCGUAAACGAUGAGUGCUAAGUGUUAGGGGGUUUCCGCCCCUUAGUGCUGCAGCUAACGCAUUAAGCACUCCGCCUGGGGAGUACGACCGCAAGGUUGAAACUCAAAGGAAUUGACGGGGACCCGCACAAGCGGUGGAGCAUGUGGUUUAAUUCGAAGCAACGCGAAGAACCUUACCAAAUCUUGACAUCCUUUGACAACUCUAGAGAUAGAGCCUUCCCCUUCGGGGGACAAAGUGACAGGUGGUGCAUGGUUGUCGUCAGCUCGUGUCGUGAGAUGUUGGGUUAAGUCCCGCAGCGAGCGCAACCCUUAAGCUUAGUUGCCAUCAUUAAGUUGGGCACUCUAAGUUGACUGCCGGUGACAAACCGGAGGAAGGUGGGGAUGACGUCAAAUCAUCAUGCCCCUUAUGAUUUGGGCUACACACGUGCUACAAUGGACAAUACAAAGGGCAGCGAAACCGCGAGGUCAAGCAAAUCCCAUAAAGUUGUUCUCAGUUCGGAUUGUAGUCUGCAACUCGACUACAUGAAGCUGGAAUCGCUAGUAAUCGUAGAUCAGCAUGCUACGGUGAAUACGUUCCCGGGUCU